GCUGGAGGACGUAGCGCGAGUGCAGCUGCUGCUGGGAGAAAAACUUAUCAGCAAGACGGUUUCAGACACAUGAGAUUCAUGGAUAUCUGCUUUUUGACCUCAUUUUUUAAGGCCUCCACCAGCCCGACCGCCUGCUCCACCGUCAAGGGGAAAGUGAGGUGAGGUCCCGAGUAGAUCUCUGGCACCUCGAUGUUCUUGUAGCAGAAGUACCUCUCCCACUCUGCGUCGCGGCAGACCUCGUUCUCUCUGAAGAUGUGCGAGAUCAAAUUCCCUGCAGGGGAAUCCGACAUGAAGAUUCGGGAAGUCCCUCAGCGGCACGGUUUGUCAGAGUAUUCGAUGGACUGGAAGAUGUGCCAGGUGUAUCUGCGUUUCAUCUCCGUGCGAGCAAUGUACUGACGGUACCAUCGCUGAAUCAGGACGGCGGAUCUGAUGGCUGAAAGACAACAGGUGAUCAGCCGACGGCAGAAUCUGCACUGAGGCAGAAUCAGAUCGCGCAGCAGAAGGGCAGAUCCUCAAUGAACUAAUUUUUAAAUGAAACAUUUUGAAUAUUUCAUAUAAUAUUCCAUACAUUUUCCAUGUUUUGGAAAACUGACAAAAUAUUCAUAAUGUUGUGGUAUUUAGAUGUAUUGCUUUGCCGUUUAUUGAGAUAAAGGAAAUAUUGAGUUUUGGAAACUUGGACUCCGACCCAGAUGACACACACUCAACAUCUGGCAAAGCCCCGGCGGCACAACGCACAACGGUAAGACGGGGCGUGGCUUACUUGUGACGGCUGCGUCGGGCGGAGCAGAGGGGAAGGAAAUACAGCUGCGUUAAAAACAACACAAACAAAUGAGAAAGUUUCUGAGCUGGUGUGUCCGUCUGAUAUCCAAAGAUCAGGGUCACCUUUUCUGGAGCCUUUGUGGAACUGGUCGGAUUUUGAGACGCCACAUCCCAUGACUGCUCCUGUUCAGAGCAUCAAAUAAAAGUUACCCAAUAUAACGUAUGAAUUGAACUAGUAUUGCAGCACAAUGAAUCCAUUACUGCACUCUAAUUGGACGCAUGAUGAGUUGGCAUCAUAAAUCUGAUUACACAUACACAUUUCACAUUAUGACCCCACGCACAUUAAAAUGAUCUGCGGCGCAGUCUUGGCCUCUGAGGGACCCAUUCAUUCAAGUUGAGCUUUCCAGCUUGAGGACGUUUUGACCUUUUUCUAAUCUCGUUAUCUGCUGGUUCACUCCUCAUCUCUGUGAUUGACCUCAAUCCUGCAGCACAGGACUGUUUUUAUCUGCAUUCUACGAAGGCUUAAACUAAGCAAUGAAUGAAACUGAGGUGGCAAGACAUAUCUUAUUUUAGCUAGCUCAAGUUAUUCCUAAUCAAAUGGACAUAUCCAUCUGUUUUAGGUAAACAAAUGAUGACAAAUGAUUGUUUACGAUUUACAAAACCCAAUAAAACAUUAUCUGCUUCAAUCU